rnacentral:lncRNA from 1 species
GCUGCUGUCCCGUGUGCCGCAGAGAGUUUCCAGAGGAUCCGGUUGCCGAGUGCCGUCGUUACACUGAGGUCAGGAACAUCACCAAGGGCGACUGUCGCCUGGACAACGUGGAGGUCAGCUUCUGCAGAGGGCGCUGUCUGUCCCGGACCGAUGUCAUUCUGGAGGAGCCGUAUCUGCAGGCGUUCUGUGACUGCUGCAGCUACAGGCUGGACCCGCAGAACCCGGUGCGCUUCCUCAGCCUGCAGUGCGCUAGCGGAGACGUCGAGCCCGUCGUUCUGCCCGUCAUUCACAGCUGCGAGUGCACCAGCUGCCAGGGUGG